rnacentral:rRNA from 1 species
GUAGUUAGCCGGGGCUUUCUUACAGGGUACCGUCACUUCUUCGUCCCCUGCGACAGAGGUUUACAAUCCGAAAACCUUCUUCCCUCACGCGGCGUUGCUGGGUCAGGCUUGCGCCCAUUGCCCAAUAUUCCCCACUGCUGCCUCCCGUAGGAGUCUGGACCGUGUCUCAGUUCCAGUGUGGCCGAUCAGCCUCUCAGUCCGGCUACCAAUCGUCGGCAUGGUGGGCCGUUACCUCACCAUCUACCUAAUUGGACGCGAGUCCAUCUCAAAGCGAAUAAAUCCUUUUACCUCAGGAACAUGUGUCCCCGUGGUCUUAUGCGGUAUUAGCAGUCGUUUCCAACUGUUGUCCCCCACUCUGAGGCAGGUUACUCACGCGUUACUCACCCGUUCGCCACUCGGUUAUCAGACGAAUCCAAUAACCUCGUUCGACUUGCAUGUGUUAGGCGCGCCGCCAGCGUUCGUCCUGAGCCAGAAUCGAACCCUGA